rnacentral:rRNA from 1 species
GAUGAACGCUAGCGGGAGGCUUAACACAUGCAAGUCGAGGGGCAGCACGGGUAGCAAUACCUGGCGGCGACCAGCAGACGGGUGAGUAACGCGUAUGUAACCUACCCUGUACAGGGGGAUAACCCGGAGAAAUUCGGACUAAUAUCCCAUAGAAAUAUUGGAAGGCAUCUUUUGAUAUUUAAAGCUCCGGCGGUACGGGAUGGGCAUGCGUAACAUUAGCUAGUUGGUAAGGUAACGGCUUACCAAGGCUUUGAUGUUUAGGGGUCCUGAGAGGGUGGUCCCCCACACUGGUACUGAGACACGGACCAGACUCCUACGGGAGGCAGCAGUGAGGAAUAUUGGUCAAUGGGCGCAAGCCUGAACCAGCCAUCCCGCGUGCAGGAAGACGGCCCUAUGGGUUGUAAACUGCUUUUCCAGGGGGAGAAACUUGCGCACGUGUUGCGCAAUUGACGGUACCCUGGGAAUAAGCAUCGGCUAACUCCGUGCCAGCCGCCGCCGUAACAC